AGUAGCUAAAAUACAUAUUGAACAUAGCAAAUCGGGUUCCCAAGAUGUACAAAGUAAAUAUUAAUCACGAAGUCAAAUAACAUAAAAAUUCAUACUAUGCGGGAUAAUAGCCAUGAUUCACAGCAGAUGAGGAUUAUUUCUUAAUAAAAAAUAUUGUGGAAUUUAACAGUAGGAACAAUUUACUGCCGUAAGAGCCCCCCGAUUAUUAGUGCAAUCGUGCAGGAUACCACUUUGAUACAAACUGAUGAUGGUGGAAAAACACCGAAACGACUUUUAAGAAAGAUGAAUAAACAGUGAUCGAAAUAAAUGAUUGAAACCCAGGAAUAUUGUUUAUAUUAUUAUAAGUGUUACAAGUUUUAAGUCGCACAAUGAGGUAAAUCAAAAACAACUUAUGAAUGCAAAUCCUAUGUAAAUUAUGGGGCAUUUUUGUCAAUAUUGCCUAUGUCGAAUGCUGCAAAACUGUCAACAGGAUUAGAUACAGUGAACAACCAGGAAAAAGGAAAUGAACUAAUCAUUUGUUAUUUAUUACAUCCUUCCUAGGAAAGCUAUUCUUACCU